rnacentral:rRNA from 1 species
CAGUCGCCACGGUAAUACGAAGGGUGCAAGCGUUACUCGGAAUUACUGGGCGUAAAGCGUGCGUAGGUGGUGGUUUAAGUCCGUUGUGAAAGCCCCGGGCUCAACCUGGGAAUUGCAGUGGAUACUGGGUCACUAGAGUGUGGUAGAGGAUAGUGGAAUUUCCGGUGUAGCAGUGAAAUGCGUAGAGAUCGGAAGGAACAUCUGUGGCGAAGGCGACUAUCUGGGCCAACACUGACACUGAGGCACGAAAGCGUGGGGAGCAAACAGGAUUAGAUACCCCCGUAGUCCCUGUCUCUUAUAC